AUUGAACGCUGGCGGCAGGCUUAACACAUGCAAGUCGAACGGUAACAGGGUGCUUGCACCGCUGACGAGUGGCGAACGGGUGAGUAAUGCGUCGGAACGUGCCGAGUAGUGGGGGAUAACGCAGCGAAAGUUGUGCUAAUACCGCAUACGUACUGAGGUAGAAAGUGGGGGACCUUCGGGCCUCACGCUAUUCGAGCGGCCGACGUCUGAUUAGCUAGUAGGUGAGGUAAAGGCUCACCUAGGCGACGAUCAGUAGCGGGUCUGAGAGGAUGGUCCGCCACACUGGGACUGAGACACGGCCCAGAGUCCUACGGGAGGCAGCAGUGGGGAAUUUUGGACAAUGGGCGAAAGCCUGAUCCAGCCAUGCCGCGUGUCUGAAGAAGGCCUUCGGGUUGUAAAGGACUUUUGUCAGGGAGGAAAUCCCUAGUGCUAAUAACACUGGGGGAUGACAGUACCUGAAGAAUAAGCACCGGCUAACUACGUGCCAGCCGCCGCGGUAA
rnacentral:rRNA from 1 species